rnacentral:rRNA from 1 species
UACGGGGGGAGCAAGCGUUGUUCGGAUUUACUGGGCGCAAAGGGCGCGUAGGCGGUCAGCACAAGUCAGUUGUGAAAUCUCCGGGCUUAACUCGGAAAGGUCAACUGAUACUGUGCGACUAGAGUGCAGAAGGGGCAACUGGAAUUCUCGGUGUAGCGGUGAAAUGCGUAGAUAUCGAGAGGAACACCUGCGGCGAAGGCGGGUUGCUGGGCUGACACUGACGCUGAUGCGCGAAAGCCAGGGGAGCGAACGGG